UACGAAGGGGGGCUAGCGUUGCUCGGAAUCACUGGGCGUAAAGGGUGCGUAGGCGGGUUUUUAAGUCAGAGGUGAAAUCCUGGAGCUCAACUCCAGAACUGCCUUUGAUACUGAAAGUCUUGAGUAUGGGAGAGGUGAGUGGAACUGCGAGUGUAGAGGUGAAAUUCGUAGAUAUUAGGAGGAACAUCGGAGGUGAAAACGGCCAUCUGGGCCUUAUCUGACGCUAAAAGCGCGAAAAGCGUGGGGAGCAAACAGG
rnacentral:rRNA from 1 species